CGCGCAGGUGGUUUCUUAAGUCUGACGUGAAAGCCCACGGCUCAACCGUGGAGGGUCAUUGGAAACUGGGAGACUUGAGUGCAGAAGAGGAUAGUGGAAUUCCAAGUGUAGCGGUGAAAUGCGUAGAGAUUUGGAGGAACACCAGUGGCGAAGGCGACUGUCUGGUCUGUAACUGACACUGAGGCGCGAAAGCGUGGGAGCAAACA
rnacentral:rRNA from 1 species